GACGAGGCACUACGGUGCUGAAGCAACAAAUGCCCUGCUUCCAGGAAAAGCCUCUAAGCAUCAGGUAACAUCAAAUCGUACCCCAAACCGACACAGGUGGUCAGGUAGAGAAUACCAAGGCGCUUGAGAGAACUCGGGUGAAGGAACUAGGCAAAAUGGUGCCGUAACUUCGGGAGAAGGCACGCUGACACGUAGGUGAAGUGAUUUACUCACGGAGCUGAAGUCAGUCGAAGAUACCAGCUGGCUGCAACUGUUUAUUAAAAACACAGCACUGUGCAAACACGAAAGUGGACGUAUACGGUGUGACGCCUGCCCGGUGCCGGAAGGUUAAUUGAUGGGGUCAGCGCAAGCGAAGCUCCUGAUCGAAGCCCCGGUAAACGGCGGCCGUAACUAUAACGGUCCUAAGGUAGCGAAAUUCCUUGUCGGGUAAGUUCCGACCUGCACGAAUGGCGUAAUGAUGGCCAGGCUGUCUCCACCCGAGACUCAGUGAAAUUGAACUCGCUGUGAAGAUGCAGUGUACCCGCGGCAAGACGGAAAGACCCCGUGAACCUUUACUAUAGCUUGACACUGAACAUUGAGCCUUGAUGUGUAGGAUAGGUGGGAGGCUUUGAAGCGUGGACGCCAGUCUGCGUGGAGCCGACCUUGAAAUACCACCCUUUAAUGUUUGAUGUUCUAACGUGGACCCGUGAUCCGGGUUGCGGACAGUGUCUGGUGGGUAGUUUGACUGGGGCGGUCUCCUCCUAAAGAGUAACGGAGGAGCACGAAGGUUGGCUAAUCCUGGUCGGACAUCAGGAGGUUAGUGCAAUGGCAUAAGCCAGCUUGACUGCGAGCGUGACGGCGCGAGCAGGUGCGAAAGCAGGUCAUAGUGAUCCGGUGGUUCUGAAUGGAAGGGCCAUCGCUCAACGGAUAAAAGGUACUCCGGGGAUAACAGGCUGAUACCGCCCAAGAGUUCAUAUCGACGGCGGUGUUUGGCACCUCGAUGUCGGCUCAUCACAUCCUGGGGCUGAAGUAGGUCCCAAGGGUAUGGCUGUUCGCCAUUUAAAGUGGUACGCGAGCUGGGUUUAGAACGUCGUGAGACAGUUCGGUCCCUAUCUGCCGUGGGCGCUGGAGAACUGAGGGGGGCUGCUCCUAGUACGAGAGGACCGGAGUGGACGCAUCACUGGUGUUCGGGUUGUCAUGCCAAUGGCACUGCCCGGUAGCUAAAUGCGGAAGAGAUAAGUGCUGAAAGCAUCUAAGCACGAAACUUGCCCCGAGAUGAGUUCUCCCUGAGACUUUAGGUCUCCUGAAGGAACGUUGAAGACGACGACGUUGAUAGGCCGGGUGUGUAAGCGCAGCGAUGCGUUGAGCUAACCGGUACUAAUGAACCGUGAGGCUUAACCUUACAACGCCGAAG
rnacentral:rRNA from 1 species